UACGUAGGGUGCAAGCGUUGUCCGGAAUUAUUGGGCGUAAAGAGCUCGUAGGCGGUCUGUCGCGUCUGCUGUGAAAAUCCAGGGCUUAACCCUGGACCUGCAGUGGGUACGGGCAGACUAGAGUGCGGUAGGGGAGAUCGGAAUUCCUGGUGUAGCGGUGAAAUGCGUAGAUAUCUGGAGGAACACCGGUGGCGAAGGCGGCAUCCUGGAC
rnacentral:rRNA from 1 species